GCUUUGGUAGCUUAAAUAUAUAGAGCAUAGCACUGAAGAUGCUAAGGUAGCACAUUAUGCUUCAAGGCA
rnacentral:tRNA from 1 species